UUACGGUCAAAUCACGCUGAAACACCGGUUCUCGUUCGAUCACCGAAGUUAAGCAUCAUAGAGCCAGGUCAGUACUUAGAUGGGGGACCGCUUGGGAACACCUGGUACUGUAAG
rnacentral:rRNA from 1 species